GAUGAACGCUGGCGGCGUGCCUAAUACAUGCAAGUCGAGCGAACGGACGAGAAGCUUGCUUUUCUGAUGUUAGCGGCGGACGGGUGAGUAACACGUGGAUAACCUACCUAUAAGACUGGGAUAACUUCGGGAAACCGGAGCUAAUACCGGAUAAUAUUUUGAACCGCAUGGUUCAAAAGUGAAAGACGGUCUUGCUGUCACUUAUAGAUGGAUCCGCGCUGCAUUAGCUAGUUGGUAAGGUGACGGCUUACCAAGGCAACGAUGCAUAGCCGACCUGAGAGGGUGAUCAGCCACACUGGAACUGAGACACGGUCCAGACUCCUACGGGAGGCAGCAGUAGGGAAUCUUCCGCAAUGGGCGAAAGCCUGACGGAGCAACGCCGCGUGAGUGAUGAAGGUCUUCGGAUCGUAAAACUCUGUUAUUAGGGAAGAACAUAUGUGUAAGUAACUGUGCACAUCUUGACGGUACCUAAUCAGAAAGCCACGGCUAACUACGUG
rnacentral:rRNA from 1 species